rnacentral:rRNA from 1 species
UACGUAGGGUGCGAGCGUUAAUCGGAAUUACUGGGCGUAAAGGGUGCGUAGGCGGCGCGGUAAGUCGGGUGUGAAAUCUCGGGGCUUAACUCCGAAACUGCAUUCGAUACUGCCGUGCUUGAGGACUGGAGAGGAGACUGGAAUUUACGGUGUAGCGGUGAAGUGCGUAGAUAUCGUAAGGAAGACCAGUGGCGAAGGCGGGUCUCUGGACAGUUCCUGACGCUGAGGCACGAAGGCCAGGGGAGCAAACGGG